AUAUGGUCAAUGGGCGGAAGCCUGAACCAGCCAUGCCGCGUGCAGGAUGACUGCCCUAUGGGUGUAAACUGCUUUUGUCCAGGAAUAAACCUACGUUACGAGUAGAGAGCUGAAUGUACUGGAAGAAUAAGGAUCGGCUAACUCCGUGCCAGCAGCCGCGGUAAUACGGAGGAUCCGAGCGUUAUCCGGAUUUAUUGGGUUUAAAGGGUGCGUAGGCGGCCUGUUAAGUCAGGGGUGAAAUACGGUGGCUCAACCAUCGCAGUGCCUUUGAUACUGACGGGCUUGAAUCCAUUUGAAGUGGGCGGAAUAAGACAAGUAGCGGUGAAAUGCAUAGAUAUGUCUUAGAACUCCGAUUGCGAAGGCAGCUCACUAAGCUGGUAUUGACGCUGAUGCACGAAAGCGUGGGGAUCGAACAGGAUUAGAUACCCUGGUAGUCCACGCCCUAAACGAUGAUAACUCGAUGUUGGCGAUAGACCGCCAGCGUCCAAGCGAAAGCGUUAAGUUAUCCACCUGGGGAGUACGCCCGCAAGGGUGAAACUCAAAGGAAUUGACGGGGGCCCGCACAAGCGGAGGAGCAUGUGGUUUAAUUCGAUGAUACGCGAGGAACCUUACCCGGGCUUGAAAGUUAGUGAAGGAUGCAGAGACGCAUCCGUCCUUCGGGACACGAAACUAGGUGCUGCAUGGCUGUCGUCAGCUCGUGCCGUGAGGUGUUGGGUUAAGUCCCGCAACGAGCGCAACCCCUAUGUUUAGUUGCCAGCAAGUAAUGGUGGGGACUCUAAACAGACUGCCUGCGCAAGCAGAGAGGAAGGUGGGGACGACGUCAAGUCAUCAUGGCCCUUACGUCCGGGGCUACACACGUGCUACAAUGGAUGGUACAGCGGGCAGCUACAUAGCAAUAUGGUGCUAAUCUCUAAAAGCCAUUCACAGUUCGGAUUGGGGUCUGCAACUCGACCCCAUGAAGUUGGAUUCGCUAGUAAUCGCGUAUCAGCAAUGACGCGGUGAAUACGUUCCCGGGCCUUGUACACACCGCCCGUCAAGCCAUGAAAGUUGGGGGUACCUAAAGCAUCUGACCCGGCCAAAAGGG
rnacentral:rRNA from 1 species